rnacentral:rRNA from 1 species
GACGAACGCUGGCGGCGUGCCUAAUACAUGCAAGUUGAGCGCUGAAGGUUGGUCCUUGUACCAACUGGAUGAGCAGCGAACGGGUGAGUAACGCGUGGGGAAUCUGCCUUUGAGCGGGGGACAACAUUUGGAAACGAAUGCUAAUACCGCAUAAAAACUUUAAACACAAGUUUUAAGUUUGAAAGAUGCAAUUGCAUCACUCAAAGAUGAUCCCGCGUUGUAUUAGCUAGUUGGUGAGGUAAAGGCUCACCAAGGCGAUGAUACAUAGCCGACCUGAGAGGGUGAUCGGCCACAUUGGGACUGAGACACGGCCCAAACUCCUACGGGAGGCAGCAGUAGGGAAUCUUCGGCAAUGGACGAAAGUCUGACCGAGCAACGCCGCGUGAGUGAAGAAGGUUUUCGGAUCGUAAAACUCUGUUGGUAGAGAAGAGCGUUGGUGAGAGUGGAAAGCUCAUCAAGUGACGGUAACUACCCAGAAAGGGACGGCUAACUACGUG